GCAUUGGGUUUAAGCUCCAAAUAUAAAGUUAAACUUUUUUUAGAAAUUCCAGCAUGAAAAAAU
rnacentral:tRNA from 1 species